GACGAACGCUGGCGGCGUGCUUAACACAUGCAAGUCGAACGAAGUGGCGAACGGGUGAGUAACGCGUAAUCAACCUGCCCUUCAGAGGGGGACAACAGUUGGAAACGACUGCUAAUACCGCAUACUGAAGGAGGGGUUUGCGUCUGAUUAGCUAGUUGGAGGGGUAACGGCCUACCAAGGCGGUGACGGGUAGCCGGCCUGAGGAGGUGACCGGCCACAUUGGGACGGGGAUACGGCCCAGACUCCUACGGGAGGCAGCAGGGGGGAAUCUUCCGCAAUUGACGAAAGUCUGACGGAGCAACGCCGCGGGAGUGAUGACAGCCUUCGGGUUGUAAAGCUCUGUUAAUCGGGACGCGGUACCGGAAUAGAAAGCCACGGCUAACUACGUGCCAGCAGCCGCGGUAAUAC
rnacentral:rRNA from 1 species